UACGCGGACAAAUUGAUAUUCCAGAAACUGGUAUUCAAUUUAUGAAAGCAAAAAGCACCGUAAAAAUUACAAGGUUAAGCGACAAAGAAGGAGAGGAUGGGCGAAUUUUGCAGAAAGCAAGAGGCUGAAGCAGAGCAAAUUAUGGUAUCAUGAUUUUAAUAUAGUGGCAUACUUUAUGGAACGACUUGGAAGCCAUGCAUAGAAGGGAAGGAGCGUUUGCCCUAUGAGAAGAAACGCAAAAUCAAAGCAGCUUUGGAGGAGGGAAAACCGAUUCCAACUGAGCUCAGGAAUGAAGAGGCUGCUCUUCGCAAAGAAAUCGACCUUGAAGAUGAAAAUACUGCUGUACCUCGAUCAACUAUUGAUGACGAAUAUGCUAAUUGUAAC